CGAGUUCGUCGGACGACCGCGGGAGCGAUCCUGAGGAAAGUCCGGACUCCGCAGGGCAGGGUGCUGGGUAACUCCCAGGCGGGGCGACCCGACGGAAAGUGCCACAGAAAACAAACCGCCGAUGGCCACAACCUCAACGGUGCCGGAUCAGGCAAGGGUGAAACGGUGGGGUAAGAGCCCACCAGCGAGCCGGGCGACCGGCCGGCUAGGCAAACCCCACCCGGAGCAAGGCCAAGCAGGGACAGCGACGGCCCGUCGGACAAGUCCCGGGUAGGCCGCAACAGGCGGCAGGCAACUGUCGUCGCAGAUGGAUGGUCGUCCUCGACAGAAUCCGGCUUAUAGACGAACUGGAACA
rnacentral:RNase_P_RNA from 2 species